UGCUUCCUACGGGGGACAGCAGUGGGGAAUAUUGGACAAUGGGGGGAACCCUGAUCCAGCGACGCCGCGUGAGUGAAGAAGUAUUUCGGUAUGUAAAGCUCUAUCAGCAGGGAAGAAAGAAAUGACGGUACCUGACUAAGAAGCCCCGGCUAACUACGUGCCAGCAGCCGCGGUAAUACGUAGGUGGCAAGCGUUGUCCGGAUUUACUGGGUGUAAAGGGCGUGCAGCCGGGAAGACAAGUCAGAUGUGAAAUCCCGCGGCUCAACCGCGGAACUGCAUUUGAAACUGUUUUUCUUGAGUACCGG
rnacentral:rRNA from 1 species